AUCCGUAGGUGACAAGCGUUAUCCGGAUUUACUGGGCGUAAAGGGCGUGUAGGCGGUCUUGCAAGUCAGAAGUGAAAUUCCUGAGCUCAACUCGGGCGCUGCUUCUGAAACUGCAGGACUUGAGUGCUGGCGGGGACAGCGGAAUUCCUAGUGGAGCGGUAAAAUGCGCAGAUAUUAGGAAGAACACCGGUGGCGAAGGCGGCUAUCUGGCCAUUAACUAACGGUUAGGCGCGAAUGCGUGGGAAUCAAACAUGAUAAGAUACCCUGGUAUUCCACGCCGUAAACGAGGACUACUAGGUGUAGGGGGGUAUCGACUCCCUCUGUGCCGCAGGUAACACAAUAAGUAUUCCGCCUGGGGAGUACGGCCUCAAGGUUGAAACUCAAAGGAAUUGACGGGG
rnacentral:rRNA from 1 species